UAUAUAAGUGGAAUCUGCAUUCUUAUACAUUUUACACCAUCUGCUCUCUUCACAAAGCAGCGAGAGACCAGCAUGCCAUCAGCUACAACUCAAGAGCACCACACAACAGAGAAUCAAGCAUCAAUACACCUUCUAGACAGCACUGUCAUCUCAAUCACAUCAGGAUAUGGAUAUUGAUGGGAAUAGAAAAAAAAUAAUAUGACACACCAACCACUGGAUUUAAUGUAGUUGGUGCUAUAAAUAUUGAUGCAUGACAGCAAAGCUUUUCAAGGAAACUAGAAAAUGACAUUCCUUGGACAAGGUGGCACACAGCCAGAGAAGAUCAGAAAUGGUUACAUGUCCUAAAUCCCAUGGAGGAGAAGACAUUGCUGACCAUUAUGGGGACAGCUAUUGCUGAGGCCAUGUUCAGUGAAGGCUCAGAUUUUGUCAUCAAUGCGAAGCAACAAGAUGGGCCCUGACCUUAAAGAAAAUUGAGCUCGUUGGUUGAGUGAACUCUGCUGUGUGGAAUUCCCUUUUCCUGAUGCAAGUUUGUAAAUGGCUCCAAGUCCGGGGAUCUCCACGCACCCAGCAACAACUACAUCAAGCAAGGAAGCAGCUAAGCACGUUGAUGUAGUCUCCCAUACAAGAAAUCAUUAAUUUAAAAUACACUGAAUGUUUCAUUUUUAAUUACUAUUUUUGUGAAAACAGAGUAAAAUAAAUGAUUGGAAGAUUAGUACGGGAUUAUGGCAACAACUGCAGUACGAUAAACAAACUUAAAAAAAAGAAAUAAAUUGAAUUGCUUCAAAUUACAGAAAUUUCAUAUUCCACAAUUUUAAAUUAGAUUUUCAGGUCAAUUUAUGGCUGUUCAGCAAUAAUUAUGAAUUUAUUACACUCUUUAAAGACACGGUUAAACCUCAUUUAACAAUGUCUAAGGGAUUUUACAGUUGAAUUAACAGGGUAAAAGGCUACCCUUUCCCCAUUCAGUGAUUUCUGCUUAAUUGCAUUGCACCCUCAGGAAAAGCACUGAAUCACUGUUUGUAACUUUAGGAUCUCUAAAUUUAAGCGUACAUAAGCUGAUUCCAGAUGUUGCGGGCAGCUUCAGUGUGCUAAUGAUGGUUAAUGCUAAAGAUUCACUGUUUGCACCACUAUCACAAAAAUAAGGGCAUUCUUUGAGAAAAACCAAAACAACUGCAGAUGCUGUA